rnacentral:rRNA from 1 species
UACGGAGGAUGCGAGCGUUAUCCGGAUUUAUUGGGUUUAAAGGGUGCGUAGGCGGACGCUUAAGUCAGCGGUAAAAUUGCGGGGCUCAACCUCGUCGAGCCGUUGAAACUGGGUGUCUUGAGUGGGCGAGAAGUACGCGGAAUGCGUGGUGUAGCGGUGAAGUGCAUAGAUAUCACGCAGAACUCCGAUUGCGAAGGCAGCGUACCGGCGCCCAACUGACGCUGAAGCACGAAGGCGUGGGUAUCGAACAGG